AUCUUUGCGCUUGGUGCAAUGACACAGCUAGAAAGGUUAUACAGAGGCAUGUAAAAUGUUGGUUGAAAACUAUUUCAAGACCCCCUCCUCGGCUUUUCGUGAAUGCCUGGGCCAAUGUGCCAUUGAGAAUUUCUAGAAAGGCUCACUCUAAACAAGGGUAAAUUAAAGCC